AUUGAACGCUGGCGGCAGGCCUAACACAUGCAAGUCGAGCGAGCGGCGGACGGGUGAGUAAUGUAUGGGGAUCUGCCUGAUAGAGGGGGAUAACUACUGGAAACGGUGGCUAAUACCGCAUACUAUCGGCUGAGCCCAUAUGGGAUUAGCUCGUAGGUGGGGUAAAGGCUCACCUAGGCGACGAUCUCUAGCUGGUCUGAGAGGAUGACCAGGCACGCUGGAACUGGGACACGGCCCAGACUCCUACGGUAGGCAGCAGUGGGGAAUAUUGCACAAUGGGCGCAAGCCUGAUGCAUCCAUGACGCGUGUAUGAAGAAGGCCUUAGGGUUGUAAAGUACUUUCAGCGGGGAGGCGUUACCCGCAGAAGAAGCACCGGCUAACUCCGUGCCAGCAGCCGCGGUAAUUC
rnacentral:rRNA from 1 species